UGGUAAUAAUUGCAAAUACCUCA
rnacentral:piRNA from 1 species